UACGUAGGGUGCAAGCGUUAAUCGGAAUUACUGGGCGUAAAGCGUGCGCAGGCGGUUGUGCAAGACAGAUGUGAAAUCCCCGGGCUCAACCUGGGAAUGGCAUUUGGGACUGCAAGGCUGGAGUGUGGCAGAGGAGACUGGAAUUCCUGGUGUAGCAGUGAAAUGCGUAGAUAUCAGGAGGAAUACCGAUGGCGAAGGCAGGUCUCUGGGCUGACACUGACGCUCAUGCACGAAAGCGUGGGGAG
rnacentral:rRNA from 1 species